ACGGGUGAGUAACACGGUAAAGAACCGGCCCAUAGGUCUGGGAUAACCACGAGAAAUCGGGGCUAAUACCGGAUGUGUCAUCGGACCGCAUGGUCCGCUGAUGAAAGGCGCUCCGGCGUCGCCCAUGGAUGGGCUUUGCGGUGCAUUAGCUAGUUGUUGGGGUAACGGCCCACCAAGGCGACGAUGCAUAGCCGACCUGAGAGGGUGAUCGGCCACACUGGGACUGAGACACGGCCCAGACUCCUACGGGAGGCAGCAGUAGGGAAUCUUCCACAAUGGACGAAAGUCUGAUGGAGCAACGCCGCGUGAACGAUGAAGGCUUUCGGGUCGUAAAGUUCUGUUGUAAGGGAAGAACAAGUGCCGCAGGCAAUGGCGGCACCUUGACGGUACCUUGCGAGAAAGCCACGGCUAACUACGUGCCAGCAGCCGCGGUAAUACGUAGGUGGCAAGCGUUGUCCGGAAUUAUUGGGCGUAAAGCGCGCGCAGGCGGCCUCUUAAGUCUGAUGUGAAAGCCCCCGGCUCAACCGGGGAGGGCCAUUGGAAACUGGGAGGCUUGAGUAUAGGAGAGAAGAGUGGAAUUCCACGUGUAGCGUGAAAUGCGUAGA
rnacentral:rRNA from 1 species